CAUGGAACCCGGAACUGACCUCAAAGGGCUAAGGAGGAGAAUGUCUUGAUAGGGAUCUCCCUAUCCCCUCAAUUUUGAAACAGCCCAUAAAUACUGAUGUCGUGAUCUUGGACAGAUGAAAAUUCUCAAGAAGGGUGCGAUGGUGCACAACUGUCAUCUCUGUGACUCGGAGCCUAGUCAGGAGGAUCACAAGUUUGGAACCAGCCUUAGCAAUUUAAGGAUGCCCUGCUUCAAGAAAAAAGAAAAAAACAAAAAUACUGGGUAUGGCUCAUAGUGCUCCUGGGUUCAAUCCCCAGUACAAAAAUAAAUACAAAACCAACACAUACACACAAACACACACACACACACAGAGUUUUCCAAAUUUUCCAGGGUGAUCAGAUAAACAGUCAAUUUUUUAUUAUCUUGGGUGGAUUAUGUCCAUUUGGAAGUUAGUACCAUCUCUCAGUUGGCAUCUAGGGUUGGUGGUGAGGACCUAAGCAACAGUGGAAAUUAGAAUGGUCUAGAUUGAUUGCUGUUUAGGACUUUUUUUCUUUUUUAAAGUUUUGAGACAGUGACUUGCUACAUGGUCUAGGCUGGCCUCAAAUUUGCUAUCCUCCAGCCCCAGCCUCCCAAGUAACUGGAAUUACAGGCAUGUGCUAUAGAACCUGGCUUUUCUUUUUCAUUCCCUUUUCUAUUUUCCCUUCCCUUUUUUCUUUUCUUGUGGUACUGGAGACUGAAUCCAGGAGUGCUUUUUCACAGAGCCAUGUUUCCUAUCCCUUUUUAUCUAUUUUGAGACUGGGUUUCACUAAAUUGCCCAGGAUAAUAUCAAUCUUGUGAUCCUCCUGCCUCCUGAGGAGCUACACCACAGACACUGGCUUUUCUACCUUUAAUAGUGAACAUCCUAAGGGUGUGAGGUGGAAGAUAU
rnacentral:lncRNA from 1 species